rnacentral:rRNA from 1 species
GAUGAACGCUGGCGGCGUGCCUAAUACAUGCAAGUCGAGCGAACAGACGAGGAGCUUGCUCUUCUUACGUUAGCUGCGGACGGGUGAGUAACACGUGGAUAACCUACCUAUAAGACUGGGAUAACUUCGGGAAACCGUAGCUAAUACCGCAUAACAUAUUAUACCGCAUGUUUCAAUAUUGAAAGACGCUAUUGCUGUACUAUAUAAAUGGAUUCCGUUGGCUUUAGCUAGUUGGUAAGGUAACGCUUUACCAAGGCAACGUUCAGAAGCCGACCUGAGAGGUGGUCCGGCCACACUGGAACUGAGACACGGUCCAGACUCCUACGGGAGGCGGAGGUAGGGAUUCUUCGGAAUUGGGCGAAAGCCGAACGGAGCAACGCCGGGGGAGGGAUGAAGGUCUUCGGAUGUAAAGACUCUGUUAUUAGGGAAGACCAAUGGUGUAAGUGACUAUGCACGUCGUGACGGUACCUUAUCAGAAAGCCACGGCUAACUACGUG